UACGGGGGGGGGCAAGCGUUGUUCGGAAUUACUGGGCGUAAAGCGCGUGCAGGCGGCCUUGCAAGUCGGACGUGAAAUCCCACGGCUCAACCGUGGAAGUGCAUUCGAAACUGCGAGGCUGGAGUCUGGAGAGGAAAGUGGAAUACUCGGUGUAGAGGUGAAAUUCGUAGAUAAUCGAGUGGAACACCGGUGGCGAAGGCGGCUUUCUGGACAGGUACUGACGCUGAGACGCGAAAGCGUGGGGAGCAAACAGG
rnacentral:rRNA from 1 species